GUGGUCCCGGCCCAUGAUGAGCUUGCACUCUACCUGUCAGUCGGCUUUGGACUUCAUGGUUCGUGUCCUUACCGCUUGGAUAUUUAUACGUUUAAGGAGCUGACUGGGAAAAUGCGCGUCUUUAGGGUGCUGAUAAACCUU
rnacentral:pre_miRNA from 1 species